UUAGCUUAGUUGGUAGUGCGUCUGCCUUGUAAGCGCUAGGCCGCGGGUUCGAUUCCCGCCCGGGGCG
rfam:Asian citrus Psyllid, Diaphorina citri - Florida Strain, whole genome shotgun sequence.